UGCAGUCGAACGGUAACAGAAAAAGCUUGCUUUUUGCUGACGAGUGGCGAACGGGUGCGUAACGCGUAUGCAACCUACCUUUUUCAGAGGAAUAGCCCAGAGAAAUUUGGAUUAAUACCUCAUAACAAUAUUUAUUCGCAUGAUUAAAUAUUUAAAGCUUCGGCGGAAAAAGAUGGGCAUGCGUAACAUUAGUUUGUUGGUGAGGUAAUGGCUCACCAAGACUACGAUGUUUAGGGGGUCUGAGAGGAUGAUCCCCCACACUGGUACUGAGACACGGACCAGACUCCUACGGGAGGCAGCAGUGAGGAAUAUUGGUCAAUGGACGAAAGUCUGAACCAGCCAUGCCGCGUGAAGGAUGACUGCCCUAUGGGUUGUAAACUUCUUUUGUAUAGGAAGAAACCCCUCUACGUGUAGAGGGCUGACGGUACUAUUCGAAUAAGCACCGGCUAACUCCGUGCCAGCAGCCGCGGUAAUACGGAGGGUGCGAGCGUUAUCCGGAAUUAUUGGGUUUAAAGGGUGCGUAGGCGGAAAUUUAAGUCAGUGGUGAAAGCCUACAGCUUAACUGUAGAAUUGCCAUUGAAACUGAAUUUCUUGAAUCUAAUUGAAGUAGGCGGAAUAUGACAUGUAGCGGUGAAAUGCUUAGAUAUGUCAUAGAACACCGAUAGCGAAGGCAGCUUACUAAGUUAGUAUUGACGCUAAUGCACGAAAGCGUGGGGAGCGAACAGGAUUAGAUACCCUGGUAGUCCACGCCGUAAACGAUGAUUACUCGCUAUUGGCGAUAUACUGUCAGUGGCUAAGCGAAAGUGAUAAGUAAUCCACCUGGGGAGUACGAUCGCGAGGUUGAAACUCAAAGGAAUUGACGGGGGCCCGCACAAGCGGUGGAGCAUGUGGUUUAACUCGAUGAUACGCGAGGAACCUUACCAGGUCUUAAAUGCAUAACGAACAGUUGGGAAACC
rnacentral:rRNA from 1 species